ACUGCAGUACUACUAUAGCAGCAGUGAGGAUGAGGACAGUGACCACGAGGACAAGGACCGAGGCAGAUGUGCCCCAGCCAGCAGUUCUGUGCCUGCAGAGGCUGAGCUGGCAGGCGAAGGCAUCUCAGUUAACACAGGCCCAAAAGGUGUGAUCAAUGACUGGCGCCGCUUCAAGCAGUUGGAGACAGAGCAGAGGGAGGAGCAGUGCCGGGAGAUGGAAAGGCUGAUCAAGAAGCUGUCAAUGACUUGCAGGUCCCAUCUGGAUGAAGAGGAGGAGCAACAGAAACAGAAAGACCUCCAGGAGAAGAUCAGUGGGAAGGAGAGAUGAGGCUUUGCCAUGUUGGCCAGGCUGGUCUUGAACUCCUGACCUCAAGUGAUCCGCUCGUCUCAGCCUCCCAAAGUGCUAGGAUUACAGGCGUGAGCCACCGCGCCCGGCCCAUAUUAACUGUUAUCACGAGUGUUCAGUUUUCAUAUUUAUGCUCACUUGCUGGUCCGCCUGCAGAUGACUCUGAAGGAGUUUGCCAUAAUGAAUGAGGACCAAGAUGAUGAAGAGUUUCUGCAGCAGUACCGGAAGCAGCGAAUGGAAGAGAUGCGG
rnacentral:lncRNA from 10 species